rnacentral:lncRNA from 1 species
CUCCAGCCUACUUGCCUGCCCGGGGGUUUAGCUGAAUAUUAAUCACCACACACUGGACUGCGUGAAUGACAGUGCCCAGGUCUGCUGCGCCUUGCAUCCCUGAGGCACUAGGGGCAAGCGCCCACAAUGUUCAGAAGAUCCCGGCAUGGUGGGGAUGUUUUAGUACUUCCAUUUCAGAAGUGGCUGAACUCAAGCAGAGCGAGAUGAAGUGGUAUGUCUUGUCCCUGAGCCAGUGGGUGGCAGAACCAAGGCUGGACCACAGUAGUCGCCCUGCUUGGAGCCUCAGUGCUGCCUCUCUUCGAUGUUUGGCAGAGUGGACACCAUCCAAACAGCCUGGCCACACGGCACAGAAGAAGAAGGCCACGUCCGGGAGUGCCCUAGAGGCACAGGGGCUGGGGCAGGCACCAGGGCCCGGCUGAGCUUUAUCAAGCCAAUUAGCACGGCGCCGCUGCUCGGCUUGUCCAUGGGGCCUGGCCAGCCCCUGUGGCGACUGUUAGAUUUGAUCCAGACUAUUGAACAGCAAAGGCAAAACUGCUGAUCUGAAUUUGAACCUUCUUGGACGCUCAAGUAUUCAGAAAUGGAUUUUGUUGAAAGGUAUGAUUUGAGCCCUUCUCUUUAAUGCAAGGUCUGAAAUUGUUGAGACAGAGGUUCUUAACGACUCUUAGCUCAGAGUAGUUUCCCAAAUUGUUAUUACAGGCGCCACUGGGAAGUAUUGCAAUGAAAAGUCUUAGGAGCGUUUAUCUGGCAAAUGACCACUGCUUGAUCUCUGAAU